rnacentral:sRNA from 1 species
CACUACCCUGGAGCUUGCACGUUGGGCCGGUGUGCAUGUCCGCUAGACGGAAAGCCUUAAGGUCUACUGCAACUUCCACCUUGAACUUUCGGGUUCAAGGGCCAAGCCGACAGCGGUACGUCGGGGAGCCU